CCCACACCGAGUGGCACCCGAACAGGGACUUGAGUAGAAGGCAUUUCAAAGGAAACUUGCAAAUACCUGAUGUUGAAAGGAGAAAACUCAAGUUCCAGCUCUUAAUAAGUAAAUGCAUUGGGGUGCCUCCGUGACUGAGUCGGUUAAGCAUCUGCCUCCUGAUUUCGGCUCAGUCAACAUUCCCAUUGUCCUCACAGUCUUGCCUACCGUGAUAAUGGUAGAGAUGUUUAAAAUCCUUUGGCAGAAAGUCAUUUCUUGCCCAAGGAGAUUAAGACACAGACAGGCACAGAGGAAGAACCAUGUGAACAGACCGGGAGAAAAUGGGCAUUUAAAAGCCAAAGAGAGGCCUCAGAAUAAAUCAACCUUGCUGACACCUUGAUCUUGGAACUCUA